UUUCACCUCCUCCCUAUGUAUCUUCUCCUAUGAAGAUCGUUUCUUCAAAAUUUUAACUCAAACCAAAAUCGAAAAACCUCCACUAACGAAGCUUCAUAACUCGUGCCCUGUUUGUCAUAUGAGUUCCCCACAGACGAUGCUGAUUACAAGUUCAUGACUCAUGGAGGUCAGACCAGUGGGGAAGUCGGACAACGAACGGUUGAGAGUUCGCCGACGCCGAGGAGGUUUAGUGUAUCAUAUCCAUGGCCACUCAGGAGACAUGAUAUGAAUUAGGAUUCUGGGAGUGGAUCUGAUAUCGAUACUAGAAAUUCAUGGCAUACACUGAAAUUCUCUAAACAUUUGAAGAUCAAGAGGAGUUAAAAGAGAUUUUGACCUUCGAAUGCUAGCAAGAAGGCGGAUCAAUGGGAAGCUUUUCGAAUAUACUCUGUACACAUUCCUUUUACCUGUCCUUCUCUCCAAUAUUUGUGUUGCCAGUGUUAACAAUGGUGGCUUCCCUAAACCCACGUCUAUUUUAUUCUCCUUAACUAACAAAAUGUGUUUCACGUAGCAUUUAAAGCACUGAAUUUUUUUCAGGGUUAUGGAGAUGGGGAAGAAGCUUGCAGAGAGGAUAAGGAAGCAAAGGGCCUUACAUUGUCCUGACUCUAAUUGUGGCUUUGAGAAUUUAUUUUCUACACCGAAGAUAAGAAGAAGCCAGUGACUGUUUUAACGUUUUGUUGUCUUCUAGGCUCUGUAAAUGUUCUUAAAACUGGUGUUUUGAUGAUUAUGUGCCUCAUAUUUGUUUUUCUUUCUAUGGAUAGGUUAUAAAUCACAGCUCAUUGAAUGAAAAAAAGUACCUAACUCCGUAUUUUCCAAUGGUCUUACAUAAUUAUCUCCAAUGGGAUCAGGGGCUUUAUGCUACUGUCGAUAUACUACAGAUUCCACCAACAUCAUAUCUUCAAAGCCAAAAAGGGGGAAGAUGAACAUGGCGACUUGAAGCCAGCCUCUAUCGCUGAGGGUGGAAACUGCAGCAAACCAUAGUAGACGCUAGAAGGUGCUCGCAGGUUGAAGCAAAAGAAGUUUUCUUUUCUGUUACAAAGCUUUCCCAAUCUAAAGACACUGGUUUGGGAGAAAACGGUUUACUUGAUCAUAAAGGAACUUCUUCCAUCAGCUGAUAAGUAUUGUUACAAGCUCCCUGAUCAGCGAUAUGAAUAGCAAGAUUGAUAUGUAUCUUGCAAAUGGUAUAUCUCUCUAAUACCGAAUAAUAGACGAAAUCUUUUUUACACAAAUUAAGUGGUACUUGAUACAAGCAAUUGUGGAUAAGAAAUAUGUUGUUUCAAGCUCUGUUAGUAAGUUCUUUUGCAUGCUUCUUAGUUGCAAAACCAAAACUCAGGUUAUGCUGCAAAAUGAUUAGUUUCAUAAAUAUCAGCUUCUACAUUGGUAUAUAUGUAGAAAAAGAAGAGAAAAAAGAAAAGCUUACAAGGAUUAAGGAUGUUAAGGGGCUUUAAAAGGAUAAAGCACUGCAAGAAAUGAACGACAAGAGCAGCAUUUUGAAGUAUUGGACAUAACGCGUGUUUUUUUUAAUCUUGGGAGUAUUCCUUAUGUAUUGCUAUUAGAUUACUUGAUAAGAUAAGAAAUGUAUUUCUUAAUUGGUUUCACCAGUGCGAACAAUCACAAAAUUAUAAUUUGUUCUUCCUUCUUUCAGGUUAUAAUGAUUGGUUGUUAUUUGA